rnacentral:lncRNA from 1 species
CCUGACUCUUUCUCCAUGUCUCCAAGGCUGACUGUGGUUUGUGCAAGAAUAAACUGCCUGAGCCUUCGCUGACAUCUGAGGCCUUGACUCGUAAGAUGCUGCCGUGAGCCCUAGGUCCUCCUCUCUGGGCUCUGCAUCGCUGCAGAGUGAGCACGAGCUCACUGGGAAAGGGCACCUUCCCGGCGGGUUCUUCAUUCUUUCCAGGGAAGGCACAGGGCCACCUUCGCUCCCAGAUCCAGAUCCACCAGGGACUGACUCCCGUGUGUCUGUGGAUGAACACUACACCAUUUGCUCCAUUUUCUGAGAAUUUCUCAGUGGAUGCUUUAAAAACCAAGGAUGAAUUCAGCAUCUCUAUUUUAUGUGGAAGCUGUUCUCAGCAUCAUUUGUUUUCUUACUUGGGUGGAAAAGAUAGCUGGGUAGGUGUUUUCCUCCCAGGGCCUUCUGAAGAGUUUAAAAACAGAGACUUUGGGUGUUGAAUGAAAGGUCCCUAUUCUUUCCUAAAAUACUCACAGAAUCCCAUGACUAAUAUAUAAAUAAAGAUUGUUGUAUUAGUCACCCAACAAUGAAAGAAGAAAUCCUCCCACUUCUCAAAUGCUUCCUUUCAGAGUAACCUCAAUGACCUGACUGAUUCAUGGAACUAAUUUGUAACAAUAAUAAAGAUGAAGCGGGACCCCAGACAAGCUUUCAGAACUCCUCCAAAGACCCUCACUGCCUCAUCCCGCUCUCCCGUUCCUCGGCCUGCAGCUGAUGCCUUUGAGGAAGCCCCUGUUUGUACUGACAGUGGCCCAGAAACCUCUUCCCCUUGCUCAGACAAUUGCCCAUGUGGCCGCUGCCAACUUGGGGCUUCCUGGACUUCACAAACUCAGGAGGUCUGAGCUCAGUGACACCCUGCAUCGCCCCUGCUCCCUGGGCUCCUGCCCUGAACCACAGCUCCCUGCUUGAUGAAGAAGGGUCAGCCACCUCAAGGUUCACUUCCGGGCAGAGGCCACAUCUGUUAGGAAAGAAAAUAGAUGAAAAGCAUAGUUAGCAAGUGCCUGCUGUUGGCCAGGCACCGAGCUAGGAGGUGUCUUAUUCCUGUGUCAUCUUAUUUCAUCAUGUAAAUGGCCCUGUGAGGCAGAGAUGGUUGUUUGAAUUAUACAGAAGGAGAAACACAGAGUCAGAAAGAUGAAGAAACUUGCUGAAGAUUGUAUUGUGUUCCAGUGGUCUCCAAACUGGGGUAGGUCCACUCUAGUGAAGGUCCCUGGUUAAUUCCUGCUGAUUAAGCACUAACCACAUGAGACUCAUCCAGCUGGCCAGUUUCCAGAUGAAACUGUGGUGGGUAAAUUCUUUGGAAAAGAAAAUGGAGUCCAUUUCCACAUGACCACACCUCCCCUGCAGCUAGGUAAGAUCAUGUAAUGGAAUUCUGGCCAAUGGAAUAUGAGUGGAGUUAAUGUGGGUAACCUCCAUGAUGGGCAAAGAAACACCUCCCAGGAAAAAGUCUUGAUUUUUCCUCAUGUCUGCUGACUACAUAUCGACUCUUGAAUAGACUUGAGUAUCUGCUGUUGAAGGAUGCAGAGGCUCUGUCAGCCUGGGCCCCUGAGUGACUUCAUGGAGUAUACCAUCUCUCCAACUGGAUUUUAUCUUUCAGUGGUUCAGUUUUUCUCCACUGUUUCCACCAAAAUACCAUCAACAGUAAGGAAGAACAAUGUGGACCACCAGAAGGCUGGAGUGUUUUCUGAAGCUGCUCCUGCUUGGACUUUGGUUGGAAGUCGUGAUUGUCUGAGGGUUCAUGCUGGCGCUCCCCCAGUGAACCUAGCUCACCUACCCUCUGCUCUGGCUCUAGUCUCUCUUCCCUUCUUCUAAGGGAGGCUACUGCUGUGCUCAGUGCGGAGCUGGGUUCAAGGAGAGCUGGGGCUCUGAAGGAGUCGUGGGGAGAAGGCUGACAUGAGUCCUGAGUGAGUGGACCUGCUCUCUCUGGCCCUGAAGGGGUCAAGAGGCAACUGGGUGUGUGGGCUGAGUCUUUCCUGGCCCUGAAGCUGGAAGUAGAGGCUUUGUGCAGGAUCCUCAGCAGGGGACUAAAAGCCUGUGCUUUCAUAACCCGAGCCACACUGGCAAGUGCGCUGCCUCCUCCCACCUUUGAGACAGUUGCCUUCAGGAGCACAUCUACCAGAAGCCAACAAAGAAAAGCAACAGCCUCUUGGAGGGGCCUUUCUCCAGGGAGAGAAGGGUGAGGCAGCACAGGCAGAGCUGGUGUAGGAGACACAAGACAGUAUGAAUUUCAAAAUCAGAGCAUUGAAGGAGAUUCAAAUAUGGCACAAAAAGAGUUUCUGGAGCUAAAAAUCAUAAUUUCCUAACUAAAUACCAUUCAGUAGAUUAACUGAAAAAGUGGAAGAUCACCGUGAAGAUAUGGUCAGCUCUCCUGGAGGGUCAAAGGGCAGACAGACCCCUUGAUGAAAAGGGUGGUAUAGAGCAAAUGUAGAAAGAGAUGGGAAGCAAGUAGAAAUGGGUAAGGAACAUGGGAUGGAUCCUAAAACCUUGACUUGUGAAUAGAGAAACCUUGACUUGCAGAAAGAGGAAAAAAUAGAACCAACGGAGGAGAGGUGACCAUGAUACUAACAAUAAAAGAAAACUUCCCUGAACUGAAGCAAACCUGAGCCUCUGUUUUUUUUGUUUUCAAAUUUAAUACACUAUUUUUAAGAGAAGUUUUAGAUUCACAACAAAAUCAAGCAGAAAAUAAAGAAUUCCCAUGUGCCCACCCUCCAUAGCUUCCCACCCUCCUUCCCACCCUCCAUAGCUUCCCACCCUCCUUCCCACCCUCCAUAGCUUCCCACCCUCCUUUCCACCCUCCAUAGCUUCCCAAACUAUCAACAUUUCUCACCAGCAUGAUACAUUUGUUAUAAUUGAUGAGCCUACAUUAACACAUCAUUAUCAAAGUUCCUUUACCCAGGGUUCCCUCUUGUUGUACGUUCUAUGUGGGUUUUAAGGAAUGUAUCCACCAUUAUAGUACCAUACAGAGUAGUUUCACUGCCCUAAAAAUCCCCUGCCCUCCCCCUACUCAGCCCUUCCUCCCCAGGUCCCUGGAAACCACUGAUCUUUUCACCAUCUCUAUAGCUUUGCCUUUUCCAGAGUGUCAUAUAGGUGGGACCACUCAGCAUGUAGCCUUUUCAGAUUGGCUUCUUUCACUUAGUAAUGUGCAUUUAAGGUUCUUCCACGUCUUUUUGGUGACUUGAUGGCUCAUUUCUGUU